UGGGGAAUAUUGGACAAUGGGGGGAACCCUGAUCCAGCCAUGCCGCGUGUGUGAAGAAGGCCUUAUGGUUGUAAAGCACUUUAAGCGAGGAGGAGGGUACUGGUAUUAAUACUACCAGGUACUGGACGUUACUCGCAGAAUAAGCACCGGCUAACUCUGUGCCAGCAGCCGCGGUAAUACAGAGGGUGCGAGCGUUAAUCGGAUUUACUGGGCGUAAAGCGUGCGUAGGCGGCUGAUUAAGUCGGAUGUGAAAUCCCUGAGCUUAACUUAGGAAUUGCAUUCGAUACUGGUCAGCUAGAGUAUGGGAGAGGAUGGUAGAAUUCCAGGUGUAGCGGUGAAAUGCGUAGAGAUCUGGAGGAAUACCGAUGGCGAAGGCAGCCAUCUGGCCUAAUACUGACGCUGAGGUACGAAAGCAUGGGGAGCAAACAGG
rnacentral:rRNA from 1 species